rnacentral:rRNA from 1 species
GCAAGUUAUGAUUAUGAAGAUAUUGUAAAAUUUAUGAGGGGUGGGUUUGCUCUUAGAUUUCCUUUCCCAGCUCCAGAAUGGACAUAUUCUUGGAUCCUCAAGACAUGCCUGGAAAAUUCAAGGAGUGACUUCCACGAACAGAUGUCUAGUUCAAGCAUCCAGAAUAAGAUUUCUGUGAUUUUUGCCAUCGACGUGCGUUUCUUGGGAUGUGUAAAAAACAACUCCUUGUCUGACUACACUAAAUUAUAUUGGGCUGUGUUGGUCAUAGUAUCUGCUAUAAGUAUCAUGAAGCUCAUUAUCGUUGAGAGGUUCCUCCAGAUGCAACUAGCCCUUGGCCCAACAAGGUUCGCUUACACAGACAUCACUGCGAUCACUAGCCACUUCAGAGAGAAGCUGGGACAAGGAGGCUAUGGGUCCGUGUACAAAGGUGUGCUUCCUGGUGACGUCCAUGUCGCCAUCAAAAUGUUGGUCAGCUCCAUGUCCAACGGAGAAGAAUUCAUCAGCGAGGUGUCCAGCAUCGGAAGCAUUCACCAUGUCAACGUAGUGCGUCUAGUGGGUUUCUGCUCGGAGGAAAUAAGGAGGGUUCUUGUUUACGAGUACAUGCCCCAUGGAUCUCUUGAGAAGUACAUCUUCUCGGCCGAGAAGAGUUUCUCCUGGGACAAGCUCAACGAGAUUGCUGGCAUUGCCAGAGGGAUCGACUACCUGCACCGAGGGUGCGAGAUGCAGAUAUUACACUUCGACAUCAAGCCUCACAACAUCCUAUUGGACUCUGAUUUUACGCCGAAAAUCGCUGACUUUGGGCUGGCAAAACUGUACCCCAGGGACAACAGCUUUCUGCCGGUGAGUGUUGCGCGGGGAACAGUCGGCUACAUAGCUCCUGAGAUGGUCUCCCGUAGCUUUCGCGCCAUAUCGUCCAAGUCUGAUGUUUAUAGCUUUGGGAUGUUGUUGCUGGAGAUGGCUGGGGGGUGGAGGAACGUGGAUCCACGAGCGUCAAGAAGCCAGACGUACUACCCGUCAUGGGUGUACAAUCAGCUGUCUGGGCAAGAGGUGGGUGGGAUCUCGGACUCGGAGGCCUUCCAUCUGGUGGAGAGGAAGCUGUGCGUCGUCGGACUGUGGUGCAUCCAGAUGAAGCCAGACGAUCGACCGGCGAUGAGUGAGGUGCUAGACAUGCUUGAAGCUGGCAACGAUGGCCUGGAGAUACCUCCUGAGCCAUUCUUCUGCGGGGACGAGUACGCUCCUGCUGCAGAUUCUUCAGUAUUAUCAGAGAUAAGUACAUUCUCGGAGUGA